rnacentral:rRNA from 1 species
GAUGAACGCUGGCGGCGUGCCUAAUACAUGCAAGUCGAGCGAACAGAUAAGGAGCUUGCUCCUUUGACGUUAGCGGCGGACGGGUGAGUAACACGUGGGUAACCUACCUAUAAGACUGGGAUAACUUCGGGAAACCGGAGCUAAUACCGGAUAAUAUUUCGAACCGCAUGGUUCGAUAGUGAAAGAUGGUUUUGCUAUCACUUAUAGAUGGACCCGCGCCGUAUUAGCUAGUUGGUAAGGUAACGGCUUACCAAGGCGACGAUACGUAGCCGACCUGAGAGGGUGAUCGGCCACACUGGAACUGAGACACGGUCCAGACUCCUACGGGAGGCAGCAGUAGGGAACCUUCCGCAAUGGGCGAAAGCCUGACGGAGCAACGCCGCGUGAGUGAUGAAGGUCUUCGGAUCGUAAAACUCUGUUAUUAGGGAAGUACAUACGUGUAAGUAACUGUGCACGUCUUGACGGUACCUAAUCAGAAAGCCACGGCUAACUACGUG